rnacentral:rRNA from 1 species
AUUGAACGCUGGCGGCAUGCCUUACACAUGCAAGUCGAACGGUAACGGGCCUUCGGGUGCCGACGAGUGGCGAACGGGUGAGUAAUACAUCGGAACGUGCCCGAUCGUGGGGGAUAACGAGGCGAAAGCUUUGCUAAUACCGCAUACGAUCUACGGAUGACAGCAGGGGACCGCAAGGCCUUGCGCGGACGGAGCGGCCGAUGGCAGAUUAGGUAGUUGGUGGGAUAAAAGCUUACCAAGCCGACGAUCUGUAGCUGGUCUGAGAGGAUGAUCAGCCACACUGGGACUGAGACACGGCCCAGACUCCUACGGGAGGCAGCAGUGGGGAAUUUUGGACAAUGGGCGCAAGCCUGAUCCAGCCAUGCCGCGUGCAGGAUGAAGGCCUUCGGGUUGCAAACUGCUUUUGUACGGAACGAAAAGCCUUCUUUUAAUACAGGAGGGUCAUGACGGUACCGUAAGAAUAAGCACCGGCUAACUACGUG